rnacentral:rRNA from 1 species
AUUGAACGCUGGCGGCAUGCCUUACACAUGCAAGUCGAACGGUAACAGGUCUUCGGAUGCUGACGAGUGGCGAACGGGUGAGUAAUACAUCGGAACGUGCCUAGUAGUGGGGGAUAACUACUCGAAAGAGUGGCUAAUACCGCAUGAGAUCUACGGAUGAAAGCAGGGGAUCGCAAGACCUUGUGCUACUAGAGCGGCCGAUGGCAGAUUAGGUAGUUGGUGGGAUAAAAGCUUACCAAGCCGACGAUCCGUAGCUGGUCUGAGAGGACGAUCAGCCACACUGGGACUGAGACACGGCCCAGACUCCUACGGGAGGCAGCAGUGGGGAAUUUUGGACAAUGGGCGCAAGCCUGAUCCAGCAAUGCCGCGUGCAGGAUGAAGGCCUUCGGGUUGUAAACUGCUUUUGUACGGAACGAAAAGCCCUGGGUUAAUACCCUGGGGUCAUGACGGUACCGUAAGAAUAAGCUCCGGCUAACUACGUGCCAGCCGCCGCGGUAAUAC